rnacentral:rRNA from 1 species
UACGGAAGGCAGCAGUGGGGAAUAUUGCACAAUGGGCGCAAGCCUGAUGCAGCCAUGCCGCGUGUAUGAAGAAGGCCUUCGGGUUGUAAAGUACUUUCAGUCGUGAGGAAGGUGUUAAGGUUAAUAACCUUAGCAAUUGACGUUAGCGACAGAAGAAGCACCGGCUAACUCCGUGCCAGCAGCCGCGGUAAUACGGAGGGUGCGAGCGUUAAUCGGGAUUACUGGGCGUAAAGGGCACGCAGGCGGUUAAUUAAGUUGGAUGUGAAAUCCCCGGGCUUAACCUGGGAAUGGCAUUCAAGACUGGUUAGCUAGAGUCUUGUAGAGGGGGUAGAAUUCCAUGUGUAGCGGUGAAAUGCGUAGAGAUGUGGAGGAAUACCGGUGGCGAAGGCGGCCCCUGGACAAAGACUGACGCUCAUGGUGCGAAAGCGUGGGGAGCAAACAGGGAUUAGAUACC